rnacentral:tRNA from 2 species
AGGGGUGUAGCCAAGCGGUAAGGCAGCGGACUCUGACUCCGCCAUGCGCAGGUUCGAAUCCUUCCACCCCUGCCA